rnacentral:lncRNA from 12 species
CAUUACACUUCAACGAGGACCACAAAAUCUGCAGGAAAUGGACUGACCACGGAUGGGAUUUAGGUCAUGUGACGAUGCAUUUCCAUGAUAAUUCUAAGAGUCCAUGUGGACGUGCUUUAGAUAAUACUACACGCUGUCACUAAUGGAUACAGGUGCUCAUCGGUUUGGCAGUUGAGUAGCAGCGACAUUUCUACUAACCUGGUGUGUGCUGGGAAGACAUUCAGCACUUUUAAGAAGAGAUAAACGGUAUCCUUAGCACAGUGUGGGGACAUGGAACCAGAAGCUGAAGAAGCAGAGGAGACAACGUUGGAGUCUGAGAUGUUUGUAAAGACAGUUUGUGACAAACAGGAGGUGAAGAGUGAAGAACCUAUUUGGCAGCCUUGGCAGGUGUUUGAAGAACCAAUCAUGGAGCUGCAGAGAAAGAAUAUCACAGAAAAAGAGGGUCAGAAGAAAUCAGCAGAAGACAACAAGAAUGAAGAAGGAAGUGAGACGAAAAAUGAAAUGGUUAAUAAAGUGGCAGAAGAGAUGAAGUGUGCUGAAAACUUAAGCAACAUGGCAACAGAUGCUAAUGACUCAAGUGGCGACCCAACCAAUGAGCCCAUCUCCUCAAAUUCUCACACCAACCCACCUAAGACCAAUGAAUCAGACAUAGAGCACAGCAGAAAACUGACAAAGACUCCCAGCUUUGGGAAAACAGUUCGUUUUUUGGAAAUUGAGUCAGUGGAAGAAAGGGACAGCUCAGUGGACUCUCUUUUUCCAGACUUUGAGAUAGAAGAAUGGACCACCACCAGCUUUGAGGAGCUGUUUCUGGCAGAUGACUGGAAGGACAUUGCAGAUGACCGUCUGCUAAGGAAGAAAGUGUUACAGGCCAGUCCCGAGAAUGUCCUGACCCCGGCUUGGGGUCAAGAGGUCACACUGAAAAUGCAGGGUGUGCUGGAGGAUAGGACUGUGGUGGAGAAAGACUGCAAGCUGGUCUUCAUUAUCGGAGAGGGAGAUGUCAACCAGGCCCUGGAAGAGUGCGUCAUUUCAAUGACGAAAGGGGAGAUCGCUUUACUGCUUGCAGAUUCACAAUACACCUACGGACACCUGGGAAGACUGACAAGGUGACUGGCUGACAGACGGCACAAUGAGUCAGUGAGCGUUUGGUGUAACGACUGCCAAACGGAUAGGAUUAGUCCCUUAGAGAUGACGCUAACAUAUUGAUUUCUACCCCGAGUGAGCGCACAACUAUUUUUGGCAUCAAUUACAUAAAAGUACAGAAUUCGAAAUAAAUGGCACAUCUGGGGACUCACAGUUCUGCUUAAUUAACAAGUCUAAUAAACAAGUAUGAUGUCUGAAUGAAUACUUUAAAAUAAUUUCUAGGAAGCAUCUGUCUGGUAUGAACAUAUUUUAUAGAUGUCUAUAGAUUGUCCAGACAGACAGACAGACAGACAGACAGACAGACUGACAGACAGACAGACAGACAGACAGACAGACAGACAGACAGACAGACAGAGAUUGUCUAGAUAGACAGACAGACAGACAGCCAGACAGACAGACAAAGAUUGAUAGAUACAGUAGACAGAUAGAUAGACAGACAGACAGACAGACAGACAGACAGACAGAACAGACAGACAAAGAUUGUCUAGAUAGACAGACAGCCAGACAGACAGACAAAGAUUGAUAGAUACAGUAGACAGAUAGAUAGACAGACAGACAGACAGACAGGUAGAUAUAGAGAUAGAUAUAUAGAUAGAGAGAUAGAUAGAUAGAUAGAUAGAUAGAUAGAUAGAGAGAGAGAUAGAUAGAUAGAUAGAUAGAUAGACAGAUAGAUAGAUAGAUAGAUAGAUAGAUAGAUACUGUAGAUAGAUAGAUAGAUAGAUAGAUAGAUAGAUAUAUAGAUAGAUAGAUAGAUAGAUAGAUAGAUAGAUAGAUGUUUUUGACUUUACUUUUAAAGCAAUUUUAAAGCAAUAAUAUUUCUGAGUAGCGAAAUAAAUCUAGUUUGAAUUUGACUUCUCAAACACCUCAUUUUGACUUUACUUUUGCAGCCUCACCUAUAAUAUGUCCAGUUAGAGAUAGUCUUGAUGCAUUCCUGACUGAACCUGAGUUUGUCACAUAUAACUUGAAUGUACGAAUAUGACCUGAAUCCUGCCACCUUUAAUAGCCCUCCUGAUGUUAGUUAGCGUCACCUGAAACGCUCAUCUGUUCUCCCACAGUAUACAGUCUCCCACACUGCUCUCUGUCUCGUCUCUAUAGCAACUGCCAAAGCUCUGACCCCUCCUUUUCUGAGUAACUAUCAGCGAGUCUAACCAAGCCCGUCUCUGAAAACUCCACUCCAUCCAAAGCUCUGCCAUCACAAAACCACAAUGGCUGUUUUUACCCAGUCUGGCCUAGACACAUCCAAAAUAAGGACCAGUAAAUGUCUUGACUGGAAUCAGAGCAGGCAUGCCGCCGUCCUCUUGAUGAGUGGUGAUACGUGGCUCCAGCAUAAACCAAAACAGUCAUUCAAGCUCACUUGUGAAAAACAAUUACUCUUUGGCAGAACUUAAAGAGAUAGUGUCAUCAUUUAUUCAUCUUCACGUCGUUCCAAAAAUUUGCCACUUUCUGACCGCUGUGGAACACAAAAGGAGAUAUUUUGAAAAAUGCUCAUGUGUCUCUUUUCCACAAUGAAAGUGAAGGGGAACCAGCGAUUGUCAGGCUCCAAAAAGGAUUUUUAUGCUCAUCAAGGCUCCAUUUAUCUGACCAAAUCUACAAUAAAAACAUUAAUAUUGUGAUAUAUUAUUACAAUAACUGUUUCUAUUUUAAUGUAUUUUAAAAUGUUAUUGGUAACACUUCAGUAAAGAGACCAAUUCUCACUAACAUACU